rnacentral:lncRNA from 1 species
GCGGCCAAUGUAGUCAGUCUGGGGACCCACCUCCCCCUUUCAGCUGAGCGCACACAACACAGCAUCCACGUGAGUCAGCUUCUUAAAGGCGAAGGCUUGGCCUGUCUAAUUGCGGCAGCUGCGAGACAUCGCACGUCAUUAGCGUCACCAGGUAGCGGCUGGAGCCGAGCUUCCUGAUACCUAGUGAGCCGCGGUGAUGACAAAUGAAAACAAUAAGCUGUUUCCUAGACAAACAGCUGCCUAGUUUCGCUCUGUCGCCCAGGCUGGAGUGCAGUGGCACAAUCUCGGUUCACUGCAACCUCUGCCUCCCGGGUUCAAGCAGUUCUCUUGCCUCAGCCUCCCAAGUAACUGGUACUACAGAGAAUUGAUACAAAAAAUGAUCAUGUGAAGAAUUUGCAUCUUCUGCAGAACUACCGGUAUCAGUCAGCAGUAGGAGAUUGUAUAAAUUCAGCCUGAGAUUCCAGAAUAUUCUGUGUAUUGACCACCACAGCAAGAAGAAAAAGUCCAUGUAGGACUGAAAUCUGUGGUACUUCUGCGGUGGCACUUCUUACACAAGUGAGAAGCAGCGACACCGUGACACCUGCACGCCGGAGCCCUGCGUUAGUGAGAAGCAGCGACACCGUGACACCUGCACGCCGGAGCCCUGCGUUAGUGAGAAGCAGCGACACCGUGACACCUGCACGCCGGAGCCCUGCGUUAGGCUGGGUAAGGGCGGGGACCUGGGCAUCACACAGUCUUAGAUGUGGGCCUGCCUCCAACAGCUCCCUCCUGGGUGUGAUGCUGAAGGGGGUCCUUGACACCUCUGAAGUCUCAGUCUCCUCAAGGUCACACCCAGCUUAUAGGAUUGUGCUUCUGUGGAUUAAACAAGACACAGCAGUCCUCCCUUAUCCAUGGUUCUGUUUUCCUUGGCCAAAAAUAUUAAAUAGAAAAUUCCAGAAAUAAACAAUUUAUGUUUUAAA